rnacentral:miRNA from 1 species
CUUGGACUCACUUUGUAGUCCAGGCAGGCCUUAAGCUCACAGUGAUCCUCCUGCCUCAGCCUCCUUAGUGCUGGAAU